AGUUAACGGGACCCGAAAUAAACUUAAUCAUAAAUAUUCUCGAACCCGCAAAGUUAACUAGGAAUAUUAAAUCUAGUUAAUAAGUGGGGAAUAUUGUUAGAAAUAAGUAGGUUGUGCCCUACUUAAUUAACUAACCAAAUUAGAGGGGCCAAUAUUGUUAAAAUUGAAACUUAACUUUAAUUAAUUAAAUAAAACACACCAAACACCCCACAAGGAGGUGUCUGGUCGUACAAGAAGAACAGGGGGGCGAUCCCCACACAUCAAAACCCUAAAUCUUCACCAAACUUGCAAAUUGAAGGCUCAAUCCAAGUCAAAAUCGAAAAUCAAGCAUAGAUUAUUGAUCCCCAUGGCAAGAGGGUUGUAAGUUUGACUCUUGACAAGCUAGAUGGAGGCUUGGGAAUGAAGCGGGUCAAACGGAGCAAGUACGAAAAGGAAAGCGUAAUUUGGAUGCGAGGUAAGUAAAACUUACACCUAAUUGUAGUAUACGUGUUUAUUUUAUAGGCGAUAAAUACAACAAAGGAUUUGGUUCGAAUUAUGGGUUCCAACACAAAACGAAUUGGGUUGGAACGAAUAGAAACGUUUUAAACCAUGAUUAAUGGUGAAAAAGGCAAAACGGUAAACUAGUCAUGAAUUGGUUAAUAGUUUAAGAGUUUUCUUAAAGUUACCUUAUAGCGUAACUAGUAAUGGAAAAUGAGUAAGAAUGGAAAUUUAGUCAAGUAUUGACUAAAGUAAAAUAAGUUUCAAAGGACACCCAUAGCAUAAGCCGAAUGGGUUAAAAAUAUAGGAAAUUGACUUUAGAAAGAAAGGGAUCUAGUGAGAAAAUCCGAAAUGGUUCGGAUGUGUGAUUGGUAAUUAAAAACCAUGUUUUUGUUACAUAUGAAAACGUUGGGUUAUAUAGACCGAACGGGUCAAAUGGUGGGAAUAACGUCAUUUGACAAAAUCAACUAAUGUGGUGGUCAAGUCAUGUGUUACAGGAGCGAAUAGUAAUUUGGAUAAUUGCGUCGCCAUAGAAUAUCGGUCAUAAAAGCAAGGUGUUGAAAAGGGUCACUAGGGUGACUCGAGCCAGGUGAAUGUCGAGGGUCCCGGAUGAAGAUCGAGCAUCGAGCAAGAACCGAACACACAUUAAAUAAAGCUUCCGCAACGUUGUUUUGUCGUUAUUCUAAACGGCGAUUUAAAUCACAUUAUGUAUAUCACUUAAAUUGUAAAAGUUUUUAACCAACCCGUAUUUCCGAUGUAUAUAUAAUCAUUAAUUACAUGAUUAUUUUCGCAAAAUAUACGUUAAGCCUUGAUUUAUAAGAACGGGUCUUACAAGUUGGUAAUCAGAGCUCAAGGUUGUUGACAAAAUGUGUUCGGUUCGAGGCUUGAUCGCAAAUCCGGACACUCGCGUUGAAGACGACGAGAGUCAAACGAACUGUGGAUACGAUGAUGGAACGAUCCGAAGUAUGACAAGAGGAGCAUGCUCACCGAGGACUAAAUCGCGUAAAGACCGCGAACAAGGUUAAUGGCAAGGAACGCCUGUCGGGGCAAACAUUACCAGGUGCACAUUUUAAAUAAU